GCUUUAGCACCCCGACCACCCUAACAUCUUGCACUGUCUGGGGGCUCCCCGGGCUCAGCAACACCCACCUCUGUGGCUGGGAGCUGGGCUCAGCCACAUCCCUGCAACUUCUCCGGGACACCGCCAUCCAGCUACGCCAAGGCCUGACGGCGGCUCCAUGUUUCCUGCCAAUGGCGGUGCUAUUAAUUUAGCAUUUUGGUUCCUAAGAACAAGAGCUAGCCGUCACCGUUGAUCACUGUGUGCUGUUUGCGGGGUCUUGCUUUUCACACCAGCAUCCUCAGGAGAUAGGUACCAUGUCUCCCCGCUUAUUGGAUAGAAAACUGAGGCAUGCGAAAGAAACGUCACUGUUCAAAGAUCUAUGAUUAAUAAAGCGGCAAAUCAAUCCUUAAAUCCAUGUGGAUGUGCAAUGCCAAUGCCCAUGUUCUUAUUCUUAGCAUAACCUAAAAAAUGAGAGCUUAUAAUAAAGCACAUACAAUUUUAAACUUAGAUGGCAGCUGAGUGUCUUUGGAAAACAUAUAAGUAAUUACUGGAAGCAGAUCACAUCAAUAUAGAAAUUACGAUGUUAAAAUUCUCCAGAGAAUCCCCUUGACACCAAGGCUGGCACCUGUCCUGUUGAGGCUCUUGGAACACAUCAGUGGUUACAUUUUUGUUACGACUUUCACUUUAUGGUUACAGAUGCACACGAAAGAACUGUUUUCGUUCCUUGAGACCAUGAGAUUAGCCUUGUCAUUCUAACGUUAUAUCCCCAUUAUGAUGCCAUUCUAAACUAGAUCUGGAAAUUAUUUCUUCAUUAUUUACAGAGACAGAUUUCCCCACCUAUUUGAAACUGCAACCGAAACUUCUCAGUGCCUUCAGCAAUUUCUAUCUCGGUACUUGGUGAACAGGGGGAGGUUAAGACACCUUUUCUGCUCCUACUCAUUUAUUCAAAAGCCAGUAUUCACAGUUGAUUUAUGGGAUCAUGGGCAGCUCUUGGUCAAUGUAACAGGGAACAGUCCAAAGGUGAACUGAACCCAUGAAAUCUGAGAGCCCAUCAGAAAAGACUCACUGGACAAAUAAGUAAGUAAAACACAAAAAUAUUGCCAACCUGAACCCAACAUGAUGAAAGGCAGGAGAGUAACCCUGGGAGCUGCCACCCACAAGGAAGCGUCUCCUUCUCCAUCCACUCCCAACCAUCCUGCAUCAGCCACAAUCAUACUGACAAACUCACAUGACCUGAGAACUGUCACUGUGUGGUUCAUCAGCAUCAAAUAGUUCUUCUUGAGGGAUCCAUUCAAAGUCCUGGGCCUCCCUGACACCCACGCCCCAAGCCGGUUCUCAUCAGAGGCAGAACCACACCCAGGUGAGGCCUGAACACCCGACCCGUGAUGUGUUGCACCUUCCAAGCCAGCAAAUCCCACUCAAGGUGCAAACGUCCUCCCUUCCUCCAUGAACCAUUUAUGAACUCCAAAUUGAGCCACGUAUCUCCUCCCUAUGGGCUCUUAUUUAAGCAUUCACUGCUGUUUAUUAUACUUUUUUCAGGAUUUUACAGAAUUUAAAAACAAAACAAAACAUGGACUUAAGUAGAACCGGUGCUGAUGAAGCAACUUUAAUACCCAUGACGCCAGUGACUGUGAACUAAGCCUCUGGAGUUUCAGGGCUCACAGACAUUUCAACCUGAGUAAAUUCAGACCUAGCCACACCCUCCACCCACGCCUGUGCCCCAGGCCAGAGCUCACAUCCCAGUGACCCGCAGGUCCCUCUGCUGUAAUCAGAAAGUCCCCAUAGCUCCCUUUAACUUUGUUUUAAAGCACCAGUGACUGGCAUGUCCAUCAGCUAUAAUCUAAAAGUCUCCAUAGCUCCCUUUAACUUUGUUUUAAAGCACCAGUGACUGGCAUGUCCAUCAGCUAUAAUCUAAAAGUCUCCAUAGCUCCCUUUAACUUUGUUUUAAAGCACCAGUGACUGGCAUGUCCAUCAGCUAUAAUCUAAAAGUCUCCAUAGCUCCCUUUAACUUUGUUUUAAAGCAUUUUUGUCCAUUCCAGCAGCAGACCCUCCUAACUCUUCUUCCCAGAUGCAUCACAAAUACAUCCUUACUGUGCCACUGCCCCAAUCCAAGCUCAGGAGACCCAUCUCCUCCCUGGACUGCGACACUCUCUUUCUCUCUGUCCUCCCUAUUUCCACGAUUAGCCCCUGCAACCCAAAGCAACAGCAAUGAUUUUCAAGCACAGAUCAAUUCAUGAUUCAUCCACGCAAUCUCCAGAGAAAGCUCCAAUUUCCUCUGUUAUCUGUGGCUGGGUUGAGGUCAAGCCUGGCUCCUGCCUCCACUUCCCUAUCUCAGCCCCGCCCUGGCCUCACUGCCUCCACCAGCGCCCACAUGAUCUGAGCUCAAGCCUGGCUCCUGCCUCCACUUCUCCCAUCUCAGCCCCACCCUGGCCUCACUGCCUCCUCCAGUGCCCACAUGAUCUGAGCUCAAGCCUGGCUCCUACCUCCACUUCUCCCAUCUCAGCCCCACCCUGGCCUCACUGCCUCCUCCAGCGCCCACAUGAUCUGAGCUUGUCCAUGCUUCCAGCUCAUUGUACCCCUGUGUUUUGGAGUAUCUGUGGCUUCUCAGCUUUUCUGAGUUAAACAUGUGGCUUUGCAGAGACCUGACUGCCCUAUCCAAAAGGACCCAUGUUCUCACCCACUCCAGUUCUUUUCUUCUGCAUAAGAUUUACUCCAAUUUUAAAAAACUUUAUCUUCAUUGUUACUUUCUGUUUUGUUCUAUCUCUUCUGACAGGCUGCAUAUUCAAUGAGAGUACAGUGUUUACUUUUGUAAACAGAGUUCCUGGCCCAGAACAGGUUAACAGAUAUUCAUCAAAAGAAAGCAAGAGCCAGGCCUCACUCACUAAGCUAAAAGGAAAUGUAUAAAACAAACCAGAAUAAAGUGGAAGGAAUCACUCUACCCAAUUUCAAAACAUUAUAUUGCUGCAGCAGAAAUCAAAAUUCUGCAGUACUUGUGGCAGGAUGGACACAUAGGUCAAUUGGACAUCUAUAGGUGAAAAAAAAAAGAAAGAAAAAAAAGAAAAGGAAAGAAAAGAAAAAGGAGAGAAAGAAGAUCAACCUAAACCCCACACCUAAUAUAUCAACUGUAAAUGGAUCAAGACUUAAAUUUAAAUCUGAAAACCAUACAGCCUUUUAAAAACAACACAGGAGAGAAUCUCUGGGAUCUGGGUCCUGGCAGAGUUCUUAGACCUGACACCAGAAGCAGGAUUCCUAAGAUAAGAAAUUAAUGAACUGGAUCUCCUCAAAAUUAAACAUUUUGCUCUGCAAAAGCCCAUAUAAAGAGGAUUAAAAGACAGGAUACAGACUGGGGGAAAAUAUAUUUGCAAAGAACAAAAAAGGAGCAGAACUUUAACAUAGAAAGAAUUCUCACAACUCAGCAGUUUAGAAAAAUGCAAUCAGAAACUGGGAAAAAAAGCAUUAACAGACAUUUCACUGAGGAGGAUACACAGAUGCCAAGGAGGGUGUGGAAAGAUGCCCCAAUCCUCAGCCUGUAGGAGAAUACAGAUCAAACGGGCAAUAAGCUGUGGCCACACAUCUAUCAGAGUGGCUAAAAUUAAAAACAUAAAAUAGUGACAACAUAGAACGCUGGUGAGGAUGCAGAGACACUGGAGCACUCAGCAGGUCGGGGGAGGUGAAGUUGCAGAACCACGCUGGAAAGCAUGAAAUAAUGAUACAGCCCAGCUAGUGCAUUUGGGAGCAUUUGUUCUGAAGAAAUGAAGACUCAAAUUUCCAAAAAAGCCUGUAGAAUCUCUGGGAAAAUGUCCUAAGGGGCAGAAAAUGUACAAUGUCUUUAUCUUUGUAUCAUCAAUACAGAGACCAAUGCCUUGAAGUGGUGUCUAUGUAAAUGCUUGCUACGUGAAAGACUCAUUUACAAAUAACAAGGAACAAGGGUGAAAGCCCUGAGGACCUGGAUGUGCCGAGUGCUUCUGGUUUAAUUCUCACAGCACCCUGGAAAGGUACUUACAGUCAAGUUCAUGAUAAAAAUGAGGCCAUUGGGGUAAAAUAAAGCACCUUGCCUAAUGCGACAUAGUGACCAUCUGCUCUGGAGUGAGCAGCUGGUCAGUGCAGCACUAACGCACCAUCUCUUCCCAGUCCAGCACUCAGCCUCCACACCAGAAGGUCCUCAGAAAUGAGGAAGGCAAAUAGAAAGCAAGUGGUUCACUGCUAAGGAAAGUAAGUUAUAAACAAUAUCAAACAAAGCGCUCAGACAUGCGUAAUUCUGGCACAAGGCUUAGGGUAAGGUGUGAUGUUUCCCCAUUGGGUUCGAAGAAACAGCACUCACUGGUUCCUCACUGACAUCCUUCAUUCUGAUAAUGCAGAUUCCCUUCCUUGUGCUGCUGACUGCUCAAUUUAGGAAGAUCUCUUCCUUGAUUUAGGAAGCUGUCAGUGCACACAAAGCAAUCUUGUGUACUACUAUGAAUAUGCCCAAAAGAACAGUGUGAGAAAUAAUAGGAUCCUAAUUAUAUGUUCUUUGGUAGAUGGUGACACAUAAAUACAAAAUCAGUCCCCAUUUCCACCUGCCUAUAGAAUAUAUCCCUUCACUGAUAACUGUUCUUCAGCAGUACCUAGGUUAUUUAAGUACGAAUAUACUGCUACAUAUUGUUGAUGAUUUCUUAUUGUUUUUGUUGCUUGUGCUUUGGGCAUCAUGUCUAAGACAGUAAGAUAUUAUCCAAUAUCUCUGUUUUUUUUUUCUAAGCCUUUUAUGGUUUUACCUCUUAUUUCAUGUCUUUGAUCCAUUUUGAGUUGUUUUGGUAGAAGGUGUGAGAUACAGGUCUACUGUCAUUCUUCUGCGUCUGGAUAACUGGGUGUUCCAGCAGUAUCUGUUGAAGAGACUGUUCACUGUCAGGGCCGUGCUGGCAACAAAAACAAACAAUCAAAUACAAAUUUAUCAAAACUAAAACCUUUUUGGUUUUUGCAUCAAAGGACACCAUUAGUAAAGUGAAAAGACAACCCACAGAAUGGGAGAAAAUGUUUGCAGAUUGUGUAUUUGAAGAGGGUCUAGUGUUCAAAAUAUAUAAAAAGACUCCUGCAACUCAAAAAUAAAAAGACAACCCAAUUAACCAAUGGGCCAAGGACUUGAAUAGACAUUUCUCUGAAGAAGAUAUACAAACAGUCAACAAGAACAUGAAAAUAUGUUCAAUGUUAAGGAAAUACCAAUCAAAACCACAGUGAGACACCAUUUUACAACCACCAGGGUGGCAAUAAUAGUAAUUAUAAUUAUAAUAAUAAAAGUGAGGCCAGCUGCAAUGGCUCCCGGCCCAGCCGCAGUGGCUCACACCUGUGAUCCCAGCACUUUGGGAGGCCAAGGCAGGCGGAUCACUUGAGGUCAGAUACAACAGCAGCCUGGCCAACAUGGCAAAACUCUGUCUCUACUAAACAUACAAAAUAAAUAAAUAAAUAAAUAAAUAAAUAAUAAAAAUUAGCUGGGCAUGGUGGCAGGCACCUGUAAUCCCAGCUACUCAAGAUGCUGAGGCAGGAGAAUUGCUUGAAUCCAGGAGGCAGAGGUUGAAGUGAGCUGAGAUCGCACCACUGCACUCCAGCCUGGACGACAGAGUGAGACUCCACCUUAAAAAAACUAAUAAAUAAAGCUGGACGCAGUGGCUCACACCUGUAAUCCCAGCACUUUGGGAGGCUGAGUGGGGUGGAUCAUGAGGUCAGGAGAUCGAGGCCAUCCUGGCUAACAUGCUGAAACCCCAUCUCUACCAAAAAUACAAAAAAAUUAGCCAGGCGUGGUGGUGGGCACCUGUAGUCCCAGCUACUUGGGAGGCUGAGGCAGGAGAAUGGCAUGAACCUGGGAGGCGGAGCUUGCAGUGAGCCAAGAUCGCGCCACUGCACUCUAGCCUGGGUGACAGAGUGAGACUCCAUCUCAAAAAUCAUAAUAAUAAUAAAUAAAAUAAUAAUAAUAAUAAUAAUAAUAAUAAUAAUAAAACUGUUGAUGAGAAACAGGAGCCCUCGUACCUCACUGGCUGGAAUGCAAAGUGACUCAGAGACUGGUAAACAGUGACGUGGUUCCUCAAAAAGUUAAACACAGAAUUCCCAUGUGACACAGUAAUCCCACUUCUAGGUAUAUAUCUAAGAGAAAUGAAAACAUAUCUGCACAGAAAAAUGUACCCAAAUUAUAGCCACGUUAUUUAUAAUAUCCAAAUGGUAAAAGAACCCACACAUUCAUUAGUGGAUGCAUGAAUGAAUAAUUAAGAUACAUAUGUACAGAGGAAUACUGUUCAGUUAUAAAAAAGAUUUAAAUAGUAUACCUGCCACAGAGUAAAUGAACAUCAGAAACAUGGCAAGUGAAAGAGAUCAGACACAUCUCAUUUGAUGCUUUGCAUAUCUGCAGAGACAGAAAGAAGAUAGUAGGUGCCGAGCCUGGAGGAGGCAAAUGGAGUCACGGGUCCAGGGUGUGCUGGGCUGAUGAAAACUCGUGAAACUCGAGGGAGAUGGUGGCUGUAGGACACUGGACACUGUAAAGUGGAUAAUUGUGUCUUUUAUGAACUCAAUUUCAAUUAAAAAAAACAAAAGAAGUGGCAAAUGGUGAAAAGAAUUUUCUGUGAGAAAAAGAAGUUGAUGAAUGUUAUAAAGGCUCUGGUGUUUUUAAAAAUAAGAAUGGUAGAAUGAAUCAGUGCUUUCAAUUAUGUAAAUGUGUACAUGAUUUAAAAGUAAACAUUUAAAGAUUAACCAUUAACAGAGACAGACGUGGAUGGAGACACAGGACACAGGUUUGGGGGAGAAGACCCUUCUUCCGGCGUGGUGGACUGUGCAAGGCUCUGAUGUGUGGACACCAGAAGCUCCGUGGCUGGCUUCUCAGCCUCCACGUUCUCUUGUAGAGCAGCAGCAUCUGUGAAUUUUCACAAAGUGGAGCUCCUGAAAGAGACCGGGCAAAUGGGAACUAAGGAGGAAAAAACGAAAGGCGGACACACUCAGUGACCUCUGGGGCAGGUGAGCGGUGGCCUCACCUGACACCCGCCCGCGGGGAUGCACCCAGCAUGAGGUAGGGAGCUCGGCGUCGUAAGCUCUGACUCUCAGAUCAGUGGGCACUAGAACUACGAACGCUUAUUCAUUAGGAAUAAAAGUGUCCCAAGCGGGACUUUCUCAGCUGAGAGAAAUGCUCCGUGUCUUGAUGGGAAUGUGAGUUUGUCGGCGGCCGCGUUGCCAAAGUCACUGAGUCACGCACAGAAGCACUGAGCAUCUCACUGCGUGUAAAUUCUGUCUCCACAACUGAGCAAGGGCUGAACACUAGUCACCUGUUUUGUGCAGGGGAGUGAGUUAGCAAUUCUGAAGCCAUCUUGUUUAACACAGGGGAAGUAUCUUGAGGGGAGUGGUCUGUCUCUGACUGCUGGGGAGGACGUGGACAUGCGUGGACUACGUUACAUCGGAGAAGUUUCAGCCUCCUAAACGCCUAUCAUCUGGCUCUGCCCACUGAGAGGGCCCAAGAGCAUCGAGCUCGCCAAGGGUCCGGAGCUUGGUUUCCAAAUCUCAUUCUCCACUGACGAGAACCAGGGUCCCGGAGAAAGAGCCGAGUCCAAGACCGAGGCGGGGGAGCCUUGAUGCCUUAGAGAGUGAGAAAGUCUUCAGAGAACGCUGGUGCGCGUUCAGAGACACUUAAACAGCUCAAAGAGGCUCCCAUCAGCCAGAGCUGGGACCAUUUUACAGCCAAACUGAGUGACCGUAGUAAAGUAUUGUGAUAAUUAACACGAUAAAAAUCCAUGAGUUUAGCCUGGUGUGGUGGCACCGUGGAGGCCAGAAGAUCCCUUGAGCCCAGGAGUUUGAGGCCAGCCUGGGCAUCCAGCCAGACCUGUCGCUACAAAAAGGAAAAACAAAAAAGACUCUAUAAGUCUAUACUGAUAUAAUUGAAACAAAUAAAUAAGUGGUGUUAGUAAGUGACUGAUUAAAUAAAUAAAUGAAAAGGAAAAGUUUUCACUCACAGCAGAAUGACAGCAAAUAAAUAUAGAAGGAACGGGUGGUGAGUUUAGAAAAUCAUGAGUGAAAAGAAACAGGACAAAAAGUAUCUUCCCACGAGUUACUCACUUAUUAGUUACAAAUGGAAAUGUUAUAACUUUGGUGGAGAAAACUGGCCAACAGCCCCUUAACCACGUGAUCAAAGUCAGCAUCAGCAUGGAGGCAGGACCGCCUCGCCUGCACCGGGGUAUUAACAGGAAGCCUGGAGAGGCCACUGGGGCUUCAGCGUGCUGCUGCUGCACAGACAACACCUGCAUGGGACGUGGAGGAGGCAUCAGCAAACCCAGAUUGAGGGGGCUGGAAGAAAUCACUGGGCUGAACUCGGAGUGUGUCAAGGUAGGAGAGAUAAAGACCUCCCGAGGAGCUGCUCCAGGUGAGAGAGGGCGGCAGGUGCGACCACAUAGCAGACGGCAGGUACAACCACACGUGCAGCAGGUGACCCUGCCCCGGGUCUUCUUCCAGGACUCUGAAAAGAGAAGCUGUCAAGGGUAUUGUUGUGUUUUAAUAAAUUGGACACUAGAUAAUACAGUACUUAAUUCAGUAUAUAGAUAAUGGAUUUGAUCAUAGUAUUGCAUUACAAUUAAAUUUCCCAAUACUGAUAACUGUGCUCAGGCUGUCAGGAAAUACACAAUGAAGUAUCUAAAAAUUAGAGAACCACUAUGUCCACAACUUACUAUCAAAUGGAUCAGAAAAAGAUAGAUAGAUAGAUAGAUAGAUAGAUAGAUAGAUAGAUAGAUGAUUAGAUAGAUUAGAUAGAUAGAUAAUGUGAUGGGGCAAAAUGUACCAGUUGAUGUGUCUGGGUAACACAUUGUCUACAGUUGUAAAAAUUAUUCUUAUAACAUUUCCAUAAGUUUGAUAUAUCAAAAUUUCAAAAAUACAAAUAAUUUCAUCCUCCAAAAAUGGCAACAAUAAAUGAA
rnacentral:lncRNA from 1 species